GUGCUUGCUUCAGCAGCACAUAUACUAAAAUCGGAACAAUACAGAGAAGAUUAGCCUGACCUCUGCACAAGAAUGACAGGCAAAUUUGUGAAGCGUUCCAUAUUUUC